rnacentral:rRNA from 1 species
UACGUAGGGGGCAAGCGUUGUCCGGAUUUAUUGGGCGUAAAGAGCGUGUAGGCGGCCAUUCAGGUCAGCUGUGAAAACUCGAGGCUCAACCUCGAGACGUCGGUUGAAACCGUUUGGCUAGAGUCCGGAAGAGGAGAGUGGAAUUCCCGGUGUAGCGGUGAAAUUCGUAGAUAUUGGGAAGAACACCGAUGGCUAAGGCAGCUCUCUGGACCGUUACUGACGCUGAGGCGCGAAAGCGUGGGGAGCAAACAGG